GAGACGUUCAUCUCCGGCGAAGGAGCGCCCGCUUCCCGCAACACGUCUGAGAAACCCGCUCCGCGUUCGCACUGGAAACAAAGCAGCUCAUAAAACAUGACAGAUUUACAAGGCACUCAUAUCAAACUGGUAUUCACCACAAAGCCACUUCCUGUCCAGAACAUGGGCAAUUCCUUGCGCCACAGUGCCAACGCCAGGCAAGUGAGGAGAGUGCAAGGCACCAGGUACAGCAGGGCCGGCUGGCCUGUCUUCAUCACCGCCAGCGCCACGAAGGUGAUGAGGAGGCCAAUGCCGUACGCUGCAGGGAGAGGCACAGGCAAAUGCAGCUGACAGAGCCUGUGGUCAUGCCAAAUACAGGGAAAGGCUUCAGGUUGGCCACCAUCCUCAAAGCCACAACAGAAUCUGUGAAUUCCAAUCUCCGGAUGACAUUACCAAUCUCGGGAGAAUUACCUGCGAUCCAAUUUGAUUUCCAGGUGACGCUGACGCCCACGCAGAAGACGGACAGCAUCAGCAUUCGCACCUGAGGCCGCUUGUGGCAGUACGGCAGGUUGUUCUCCGGUAUCCUGUUCCAGGGGCACACCAGACCCGCCACACAAGCAGAACAGCGGGGCGAACGGUUAUUUAAAAAAACCACUAGGGCCUGUGAGUAGAUCACUGUGUAAUAUAGCAGUGGUCACCAACCGUGUUCCUGGAGAUCUACAGUCCUGUGGGUUCUCAUUCCAACCCUAACCUAGCACACCUCACGCAACAGCUAGAGAUCUCACCAAGCUGCUCAUUGGCAGAAUCAGGUGUGCCAACCUUCACGAUGGUAGACCUCCAGGAACAGGGCUGGUGACCCCUGGC